GACGAACGCUGGCGGCGUGCUUAACACAUGCAAGUCGAACGAAGUGGCGAACGGGUGAGUAACGCGUAAUCAACCUGCCCUUCAGAGGGAGACAACAGUUGGCAACGACUGCUAAUACCGCAUACUGAAGAAGGGGAUUGGGUCUGAUUGGCUAGUUGGAGGGGUAACGGCCCACCAAGGCGAUGAACGGUAGCCGGUCGGAGGGGAUGAACGGCCAAAUUGGGACUGAUACACGGCCCAGACCCCUACGGGAGGCAGCAGUGGGGAAUCUUCCGCAAUUGACGAAAGUCUGACGGAGCAACGCCGCGUGAGUGAUGACGGCCUUCGGGUUGUAAAGCUCUGUUAAUCGGUACGCGGUACCUGAAUAGAAAGCCACGGCUAACUACGUGCCAGCAGCCGCGGUAAUAC
rnacentral:rRNA from 1 species